CCAGGUGCCCCUACACUUUAUUUCUUAAUGAAAAAAGAUGUAAGCAAACACAACCAGAUGUUCUGACUGUAUGAAGUUGCAUGAGAUGUACAGAGGACAGAUCUCCUCCAGUCCUGAACCAUCAAAGGUCUUUAUACAGGUACAGUUGAUCUGCUUGGUAGCUUGGAACCCAGAUAAAAAGACUCUGUUGAUGGAGAGUUUUGCUUAUGGCCACGGGGCAUGGCAGUGCUUCUCACAAUGGGUUUGAUAGCACAGAACUCUGAAAUUUCCGACCUGAGUCAGUGGUAAAGGCACACAAUGUGGCAAUGCCACGAGAGGAAGAAAACUGGAUUCUGUUCUGGCUACGAAGGAAUUUAUUCCAAGGGAGGCACUGAAAUCCUCUCUGCGAGGGAAUGAAGCUGAGCCAAUCCGAUUAUCAGAGCACUGAGCGUUCUCAGUGGAGACAAGGGAAGCUGCGCCCCAGCAGAGCACCACCACCCCCAAAUUUGAAUUUGGAAUUUGUCUAGAAACAUCUUGCCACUGCUUGUUUAUGUGUCCAGGUUUCCAUGGAUUUUAUCAACAUUAUAAAGUAUACUCCAAACAUCA